rnacentral:rRNA from 1 species
GACGAACGCUGGCGGCGUGCUUAACACAUGCAAGUCGAACGCUGAAGCUCAGCUUUUGUUGGGUGGAUGAGUGGCGAACGGGUGGGUAACACGUGAGUAACCUGCCUCCUUCUUUGGGAUAACGCCCGGAAACGGGUGCUAAUACUGGAUAUUCACUGGUCUUCGCAUGGGGGUUGGUGGAAAGGGUUUUUCUGGUGGGGGAUGGGCUCGCGGCCUAUCAGCUUGUUGGUGGGGCGAUGGCCUACCAAGGCUUUGACGGGUAGCCGGCCUGAGAGGGUGACCGGUCACAUUGGGACUGAGAUACGGCCCAGACUCCUACGGGAGGCAGCAGUGGGGAAUAAUGCACAAUGGGCGCAAGCCUGAUGCAGCGACGCCGCGUGAGGGAUGGAGGCCUUCGGGUUGUGAACCUCUUUCGCUCAUGGUCAAGCCGCAACAAUGGUUGUGGUGAGGGUAGUGGGUAAAGAAGCGCCGGCUAACUACGUG